rnacentral:rRNA from 1 species
UAGGGAAUCUUCGGCAAUGGACGGAAGUCUGACCGAGCAACGCCGCGUGAGUGAAGAAGGUUUUCGGAUCGUAAAGCUCUGUUGUAAGAGAAGAACGAGUGUGAGAGUGGAAAGUUCACACUGUGACGGUAUCUUACCAGAAAGGGACGGCUAAUUACGUGCCAGCAGCCGCGGUAAUACGUAGGUCCCGAGCGUUGUCCGGAUUUAUUGGGCGUAAAGCGAGCGCAGGCGGUUAGAUAAGUCUGAAGUUAAAGGCUGUGGCUUAACCAUAGUACGCUUUGGAAACUGUUUAACUUGAGUGCAAGAGGGGAGAGUGGAAUUCCAUGUGUAGCGGUGAAAUGCGUAGAUAUAUGGAGGAACACCGGUGGCGAAAGCGGCUCUCUGGCUUGUAACUGACGCUGAGGCUCGAAAGCGUGGGGAGCAAACAGGAUUAGAUACCCUGGUAGUCCACGCCGUAACGAUGAGUGCUAGGUGUUAGACCCUUUCCGGGGUUUAGUGCCGCAGCUAACGCAUUAAGCACUCCGCCUGGGGAGUACGACCGCAAGGUU